rnacentral:rRNA from 1 species
GAUGAACGCUAGCGGGAGGCCUAAUACAUGCAAGUCGAACGGUAACAGGUAGCAAUACGCUGACGAGUGGCGCACGGGUGCGUAACGCGUACACAAUCUGCCUUAUACUGGGGCAUAGCCUUUGGAAACGAAGAAUAAUUCCCCAUAAUAUAUAGAAGAGGCAUCUCUUUCAUAUUAAAGCUCAGGCGGUAUAAGAUGAGUGUGCGUCCGAUUAGGUAGUUGGUGAGGUAACGGCUCACCAAGCCAACGAUCGGUAGCUGGUCUGAGAGGAUGAUCAGCCACACGGGCACUGAGACACGGGCCCGACUCCUACGGGAGGCAGCAGUAGGGAAUAUUGGACAAUGGGCGCAAGCCUGAUCCAGCCAUCCCGCGUGAAGGAUGAAGGUCCUCUGGAUUGUAAACUUCUUUUCUUCGGGAAUAAAAACUGGGGUUCUCCUCAGCUUGAAGGUACCGAAGGAAUAAGCACCGGCUAACUCCGUGCCAGCAGCCGCGGUAAU